GACCACAGCCUUAUCACCCUGCAGCCCAAGACUGGUUGCUUACUGAUGCUAAGCAGGGUUGAGCCUGGUCAGUACCUGGAUGGGAGACCUCCUGGGAAAACUAGGUUGCUGUUGGAA
rnacentral:rRNA from 1 species